rnacentral:lncRNA from 7 species
ACUAUUACCAGUGUGGUGAUGUAGUGCCAGGGCUGCCCUCACGUCCGCAUCAUUGUCUGAGUCAUUCUGUCGCUCUCUUGCUCUUGAGGGCACAAAACAAAACAGGCUGGUGCCUGGUACUUGCUACAGCAUCAGAGGCUUCCAGAACUCUUUCUCUUAAAAGGCCUUCCUUUCCUGAAGGCAUCGGAGGACACACUGGGGCUCUACACCCUGAUGCGACACAGCUGCAGUUUCUUACAGGAUUUGAUUUUCAGGACCAAAAAUUAAAGAAAAAGAAAGAAAUUGAGAAAGAAAUCGAGAAAGAAAUCUCUCUUCAGCAUUACAGGCUUUUUUUCAAGAUGGUGACUGCCAACAUUACCAUGGAAACCCCCAAAAAUAAAGACUUUCCCAGCCUUGUGAGAGCACACCUGCAAGGACAAGACCGGCAGUUAGCCUUUUGCCUGUCAAAAGCGAAUCUCCUUCAUUCUUGGUGUCACCUAAGGACAUUUUUUUUACCAUCGGACUGGAGCUUUCUGUUGUACACAUGACAAGCUUUCAGAGAAGGAGCCUGGUGGUUAUGAGAGGAAACUUCCAUGGAACUAUGCAGGUUUACUUAAACGUAAGAGGAAAGGAGAAGCAGUCCCUGGCACAUUUAUUUUGCUAAUACUGCUGACGCAUACCUCGCUUCACAGUGCUGACGUCUUACUAAAGGACAUCCAGGACAGUUCCAGCUAUUCCAGUGCUUAUUGUUACUAAACCAAGCCUUUGCCAUUGGUUAUCAAGAUGUUUGUCAGUGAGAACAAGAGAUAAUACUGAGAUACUAGCAUUAAAGAAAACGCU